rnacentral:misc_RNA from 1 species
GGGGGGUUCGACUCCCGCUCUGAAUACCA